rnacentral:rRNA from 1 species
AGUGAACGCUGGCGGUAGGCCUAACACAUGCAAGUCGAACGGCAGCACAGUAAGAGCUUGCUCUUACGGGUGGCGAGUGGCGUACGGGUGAGGAAUACAUCGGAAUCUACUUUUUCGUGGGUGAUAACGUAGGGAAACUUACGCUAAUACCUCAUACGACCUACGGGUGUAAGCAGGAGAUCUUCCGACCUUGCGCGAUUGAAUGAGCCGAUGUCGGAUUAGCUAGUUGGCGGGGUAAAGGCCCACCAAGGCGACGAUACGUAGCUGGUCUGAGAGGAUGAUCAGCCACACUGGAACUGAGACACGGUACAGACUACUAUGGGAGGCAGCAGUGGGGAAUAUUGGACAAAGGGAGCAAGCCUGAUCCAGCCAUACCGCGUGGGUGAAGAAGGCCUUCGGGUUGUAAAGCCCUUUUGUUGGGAAAGAAAAGCAGCAGGUUAAUACCGCGCUGUUCUGACGGUACCAAAAGAAUAAGCACCGGCUAACUUCGUG